CGAUGGUUGUCGUCAGCUCGUGUCGUGAGAUGUUGGUUAAGUCCGCAACGAGCGCAACCCUCGCCUCUAGUUGCCAGCAUCGGUUGGGCACUCUAGAGGGGACUGCCGGCGACAAGUCGGAGGAAGUGGGGAUGACGUCAAAUCAUCAUGCCCCUUAUGACCUGGGCUACACACGUGCUACAAUGGGCGGUACAAAGGGCUGCGAACCCGCGAGGGGGAGCGAAUCCCAAAAAGCCGCUCUCAGUUCGGAUUGCAGGCUGCAACUCGCCUGCAUGAAGCCGGAAUCGCUAGUAAUCGCGGAUCAGCAUGCCGCGGUGAAUACGUUCCCGGGCCUU
rnacentral:rRNA from 1 species